GGAGAGGCUGGUGGACCUAGAUCAGCUUAGGGCUAAUUAGGACAGAGCUCUGUUUCUCUUGCUGGGAAAGCAGCCUGAUUGCAGCCCUGAGCCAGCUAGUUUGCCUGCUAGAUCAGCCCUCCUGAGAAGGCAACCAGCAGAAGCACAGACUGGGAGACUAGCCCUGAAUACAAGGCUGGGGCCCUACUGAAGGUUUAUAGGCUGAUGCAGGUUUUGAGUUGGGUUUGAUUUUGUUCCAGAUUACCUCUGAACUUCAGAUGCAAGAAAAGAAGUAGGACUGGAGGGUUCUUUGGCUGUCGGGCCAAAAUACCAUUUUACCGGACCUCAGUUAGGACAGAGACAUACACAUGGAGACUAACAGCUGGAGAAAGAAGGUGCUUAAAGGAGAUGGUGGUACUGGAAAUAUUGAAAUAUAUAAAGAGAACAUAGAGAAGUACAAUCUGAAUGGAAAGGCUCUAAUAUUCAGCACAAAGGAAGAACUCUGAAAAAUCACAGGCAUGAAUCUGGCACACUGGGCCAACUUCAACUGUCCUAUUCCUCAGAGUUUGCCUGGAAACUGUUUUUUCCCCAUUCAUCUGUGCCCAGAGCUGCUGCUCUGAGAUCCUAAUAGCAUAGACACUAAUUCUUCCCUCAUUUAAAUGCACACAAUUCCUGUUAAAGCUAAAGGGUACCAAAAUGCAGAACUGAAAUCAAAGCUUAGCUAUAAAAUGGGUUUUUGUUUUUUUUUUUAAAAAAAACCCUUAAAACAUGCUGGCAUAGUGGGUGAAGAGCUACAGCAUAGAUUGGACCUCAGUGCAUCCCUGAGAUCACUCCAUCUGUCUGGGCCUGCUCAAAUGGCAGAUGUUUGAAACUAAACCUACAGCAAAAUGAACAUGUGCUAAAAAGACCUUGUUUUCCAAAAUGGAGAAGACUUUCCUGACUGGACUGGAUUUGAGAGGUUCUUAAGUUUAUGUGCACUUUGACAGGCUGACUCAGACUUCACCAUCUUGUAGGUUAUAGUUUAUCUCAAAUCUUAGUUUCCAUCUGUGACGUGGUCGGGGCCAAAGCUGCAGCUGGAGCUACAGCCUGGAGUGGGGCCGCAGUUGCGGUCGGGGCCAGGAGCAGAGUUGGGGGGCCGAGCAUAGCUGGGUGGCGCUUCCUCCCUACCCCCUGUGGGGGCUGGCCUGGGCCUUGCUGCAGCCCACUACGGGGUCUCACCCUACAGUUUGGGGACCACUGCAUUAAAUGCUAUGCUAUUCUCUCACUAAACUCAAUAUUUCCAAACAAGUGUAAUUUGAUGCAAGUUUCCUUGCCAAAUACUGCUGCCUUGAUUAUAGUUCUGAGAAAACAUUUUUGUUUAGAAGUGAAAACAGAUGGUCUGGGAAACCUAUUCCUCACUAUCUCCCCAAAUCAUGUGCACCACAGGGAUACUAAGUUUAGCACAGGAGAAGGAGGACCUCCCUUGGUUGUAGAAAUCCCUUAUUAAAAUACUGGCAAAGCAUAAGUGGUUCAUACAGUUAGUACCAUUUCACUAAUUGCCUAUAACGUACUGUCUCAUUUUACUGUUUUGAACACAAUGUAGAAAUGUGUUUUUGCAAAUCUAAUAUCUCAUGCUGAUCUCUUUAGUUAUAGACAAACUAAGACCUUCACUAAACAAGAAUGACACGCAAACAUUGACAAAUGCUGUUGGGUUUUACAAAUCUUGACUACAAGACAUUUUUAUAGGUGUUCAUAACAGGUCCUGAAAAUCUGUAGGCUGGUACUGAACAUCCUCAAAACUCUCAUUUACUUUAAUGGGAGUUGAAAACACUUUAUACCUCUCACUUUGCAUAUUUCCAGAAUGCAGCCUGAAUUUAUGCAGGUAACUAGUCAAAUUACUUCCCUUUUAAGUGCCCUACACUGGCUCCUCAUCCAAUUCUGUAUUAAUUUUGAAAUUUUAUUAAUUUUAAGGCCCUUAUUUACUUCAUCAUGGGGUGCGAGGCUUAAGUAAAUGUUUGCAAAAGGCCUUGAGCAUCUCUGAUGAAAGGCACUAGAGAAGGGCAAAAUAAAAUAUAUUUAUAUUGGCCUGAAAUUUUAACACCCUAUAUCCUUGAAGUUCAAAACGGUAGGACUUUGUCCAUGUUACAUCUUGGGGUGUCUGAGAAAAUUUGGGACCUCUGGUUACUCUCUAUACCCUACAAAUGUCAAACUUACUGCCCCUCUGUUCAUAUAGCCCCCUAGGUUGCAGGGUGUAAUAUAAACUAAACAAAGCCUGGCUGCUGUUGCUUUUAAAAUGCAGCAACGUGUCCUGUGCGGGAUGCUGUAGAAAGAAAUUGUAUUGCUGCUGUCA